ACGCUCGACACCUACGGAGGCAGCAGUGGGGAAUAUUGCACAAUGGGGGAAACCCUGAUGCAGCGACGCCGCGUGGAGGAAGAAGGUCUUCGGAUUGUAAACUCCUGUUGUUGGGGAAAAAGAGGAUGGUACCCAACAAGGAAGUGACGGCUAACUACGUGCCAGCAGCCGGGUAAUCUGAGCGGGCUGGCAAGGC
rnacentral:rRNA from 1 species